rnacentral:rRNA from 1 species
UACGUAGGGGCCGAGCGUUGUCCGGAGUUAUUGGGCGUAAAGCGCGCGCAGGCGGCCUCGCGCGCCCGACGUGAAAGCCCCCGGCUUAACCGGGGAGGGUCGUUGGGGACGGCGGGGCUUGAGGGCGGGAGAGGGCGGUGGAAUUCCCGGUGUAGUGGUGAAAUGCGUAGAGAUCGGGAGGAACACCUGUGGCGAAGGCGGCCGUCUGGGCCGACCCUGACGCUGGGGCGCGAAGGCGUGGGGAGCGAACGGG